rfam:Vibrio metschnikovii CIP 69.14 VIB.Contig141, whole genome shotgun sequence.
AACCUCUCAUUUUCUGUUUGUUUUUAACUUCUUUUUUCUCCAAUAAUCUUGGAGGCUUGCUCGUUUAAAGAAAAUAAGUCAAAAACGAACAGACAGAAAGCCUCCCAUCGGGAGGCUUUUUUAUA